GUCGGACCAGUCCCAGGCCGGGGACACCCAGGACAGCGGGAACACCCGGGACAGCGGGGACAGCCGGGACAGCGGGAACACCCGGGGCAGCGGGAACACUCGGGACAGCGGGGACACCCGAGACACCGCGGGGACACCCGGGACAGUGGCGGCACUGCGGGACACCGCGGGGACAGCCUGACACGCCCUUCACAGCUCCCAUUCUGAUUCUGUCCCCCACCGCCGCUGUUUACAGAAGAGCUGGGAAGAGCAGGAAAACUUUAUUUAGACUAUAAACAUUCCAUCGUCCAGCAAGAACAGCCUGGCCGGCUCCAAAGCCCCUCCCUCCGGAAUCCCAUGGGAUGGGCAGCUCAUUCCCCCUCCCUCUGGACUGAUGGUGCCGCAGGGAGCGCUGGGCACUGGUGCCAUGAGGGGUCGGAUUUUUCAUCCACCUUCACGUCUCCUGCAAGGAAAACUCCAAACAAUGUCCCCUCCAGCCUCUUCCGCAGGAAUCCUGCGAAUGCCACCUCCUGGGCACGAGGCAUUGUUCAGGGAAGAACCGGAGCUACCGGCUGCGUUGCAUUAAUUUCCCUUCUUGUUUUGCUUCCGCCUAUUAAAUCUGGGAAAUGACACAACGCAUCCGAGAACCGCUGACUUCAUCUGCACCUUCCUCCUUGGACUGAAUCCCCCGACACGGCACCAGGCUCUGGAUGCCCAGAGCAUCCCUGGGAUGCAGCCCCCUCAGCACGGCAGGAACCAGGAGCCUCCUUCUCCCUUCUUUUUUUCUCCUUUUCCUUCCUUUUCCCCUCUGUUUUGGUUCACAUGUUGAGUUUUCCCUCCCUUGCUGCUCUGUUGUUGUGGCAGAUUUUACUGUUGGAUUUUGGCACAAAAACUUUAAUAAUUAAAAAAUAAAGACGUAAAAGCA